rnacentral:rRNA from 1 species
CAAGUCGAGCGGGGGAGGUUGCUUCGGUAACUGACCUAGCGGCGGACGGGUGAGUAAUGCUUAGGAAUCUGCCUAUUAGUGGGGGACAACAUUCCGAAAGGAAUGCUAAUACCGCAUACGCCCUACGGGGGAAAGCAGGGGAUCUUCGGACCUUGCGCUAAUAGAUGAGCCUAAGUCGGAUUAGCUAGUUGGUGGGGUAAAGGCCUACCAAGGCGACGAUCUGUAGCGGGUCUGAGAGGAUGAUCCGCCACACUGGGACUGAGACACGGCCCAGACUCCUACGGGAGGCAGCAGUGGGGAAUAUUGGACAAUGGGCGCAAGCCUGAUCCAGCCAUGCCGCGUGUGUGAAGAAGGCCUUUUGGUUGUAAAGCACUUUAAGCGAGGAGGAGGCUCCUUUAGUUAAUACCUAAAGUGAGUGGACGUUACUCGCAGAAUAAGCACCGGCUAACUCUGUGCCAGCAGCCGCGGUAAUACAGAGGGUGCGAGCGUUAAUCGGAUUUACUGGGCGUAAAGCGUGCGUAGGCGGCUUUUUAAGUCGGAUGUGAAAUCCCUGAGCUUAACUUAGGAAUUGCAUUCGAUACUGGAAAGCUAGAGUAUGGGAGAGGAUGGUAGAAUUCCAGGUGUAGCGGUGAAAUGCGUAGAGAUCUGGAGGAAUACCGAUGGCGAAGGCAGCCAUCUGGCCUAAUACUGACGCUGAGGUACGAAAGCAUGGGGAGCAAACAGGAUUAGAUACCCUGGUAGUCCAUGCCGUAAACGAUGUCUACUAGCCGUUGGGGCCUUUGAGGCUUUAGUGGCGCAGCUAAC